rnacentral:rRNA from 1 species
UCCGAAGGGGGCUAGCGUUGUUCGGAAUUACUGGGCGUAAAGCGCGUGUAGGCGGGCCGUUAAGUCGGGGGUGAAAGCCCAGAGCUCAACUCUGGAACUGCCUUCGAUACUGGCGGCCUGGAGCAUGAUAGAGGCGAGUGGAAUUGCGAGUGUAGAGGUGAAAUUCGUAGAUAUUCGCAGGAACACCAGUGGCGAAGGCGACUCGCUGGAUCAUUGCUGAAGCUGAGACGCGAAAGCGUGGGGAGGAAACAGG